GACGAACGCUGGCGGCGUGCUUAACACAUGCAAGUCGAACGGAAAGGCCCUGCUUUUGUGGGGUGCUCGAGUGGCGAACGGGUGAGUAACACGUGAGUAACCUGCCCUUGACUUUGGGAUAACUUCAGGAAACUGGGACUAAUACCGGAUAGGAGCUCCUGCUGCAUGGUGGGGGUUGGAAAGUUUCGGCGGUUGGGGAUGGACUCGCGGCUUAUCAGCUUGUUGGUGGGGUAGUGGCUUACCAAGGCUUUGACGGGUAGCCGGCCUGAGAAGGUGACCGGCCACAUUGGGACUGAGAUACGGCCCAGACUCCUACGGGAGGCAGCAGUGGGGAAUAUUGCACAAUGGGCGGAAGCCUGAUGCAGCAACGCCGCGUGCGGGAUGACGGCCUUCGGGUUGUAAACCGCUUUCGCCUGUGACGAAGCGUGAGUGACGGUAAUGGGUAAAGAAGCACCGGCUAACUACGUG
rnacentral:rRNA from 1 species